UAAUUAAUGAUACGGGGAAUUAGAAAAUCGGCAAUCCAGCAGCGUACUUGGUUGCCGACACUAUCGAACAGGAACAGUCUGAUCUCGUCUGGUGCAGUCGAACAUGAACAAGGAACAGGGACAACUCGCGCACGAUGGCACAACGGGGAUCGUGCGCGUAUGCAGGCGCAGCACGCGUGCGGCGGCGGCCCUGAGCAGCGCUGCGGUACUCAAGUGCGCGCGUGUGGUGAUGGCGCUACGGGAGCGGUACUCUAGUGCGAACAAAUGAAGGUAAUCAGCAGGUCAAUUCGUACCAGCCACUCUAUAGAGAGGUCCACGAGAAAAAGUUUUACCAAUUGGAGCAGUGUCUUGUUUACUUGUUUAGCCCGGCGAUCUAGGUGUUGGCCUUGGCCUUUAGGCCGGCCUAAAGGCACCUGAGUACCUAACGGAGGGCCCUGACCUGACGUCCUGCUACCUGACACCGGGGCCCCUGGGAUUUGGGGGCCCAGGGCAGCCGCCCCCCUGCCCCCCCUCAGGGCCGGCCCUGGUGUUCAUCGUUCUUCCCAUCCGUCGGCCGCCAUAGCUGCCCUCUCCGGUGAGCACGUAUCCGCCGUCCUUUGCCGCAUGGGUUCUCAGUCCAGGAGGCAUGUGUAGGUGCCAUAGAAGCUCGUGAGGAAGCUAGUAGCCAGAGCGCCGCUGUCAUUGUCGCUCCGCGCUGGUGACCCGCGGUUGUGUCCGCCGCACACCCCUGUACAACUCACAACACAGGACAAGAACACCACCUGGAGAUGUGUGGUAGCCUAGAGUGCGCCCCCAGCUAGGCCUCGUCGUCGGUGAGCUCACCAGCGGCGAGCUAGCGCCGCUACUCGCCGGGGAAGCCGCGGUCAAGGGUGGGGCACAGCGUUUGACCAAACGGGCCUCCGUGUCUGUGGGUAGGGGGAGCGCGGGUGAGAAAAGAGUUUCCAGGGGUUUUUCAGGAAAUAUGAUUUAGGUGUUUUAGAAUUAGUUUUAAACUCCUGUUUCAAAUUUAAUUCACCAAAAUUUAUAGAAAUGUCCAAAAAUAAUGAAACCAAUUUUGUUAGUUUUUUUUAUUUUUCUAUAUGCAUUAAAAAUUCUUAAACCGUACAAAAAGAUAAUAAAAAUUGGGUACUUAUUUAGUACCUUUAUUUAAGGUAUUUAAAUAAAUGCUUAAUCUUUAUAAAAUGAAUAAAAAUUCUGAAUAAUAUUUUAUUAAUUACAAAUAAUUAUUAAUCCAUAGGAUUUAGUUUUCUGAUUAGAAAUUAAUUAUAAUGCUUUUCUAAAUGAAAGAAAAUGC
rnacentral:lncRNA from 1 species